rnacentral:misc_RNA from 1 species
GAUGAAGAACGUAGCGAAAUGCGAUAAGUAAUGUGAAUUGCAGAAUUCAGUGAAUCAUCGAAUCUUUGAACGCACAUUGCGCCCGCCAGUAUUCUGGCGGGCAUGCCUGUCUGAGCGUCAUUUCAACCCUCAUGCCCCUAGGGCGUGGUGUUGGGGAUCGGCCAAAGCCCGCGAGGGACGGCCGGCCCCUAAAUCUAGUGGCGGACCCGUCGUGGCCUCCUCUGCGAAGUAGUGAUAUUCCGCAUCGGAGAGCGACGAGCCCCUGCCGUUAAACCCCCAACUUUCCAAGGUUGACCUCAGAUCAGGUAGGAAUACCCGCUGAACUUAAGCAUAUCAAAAGCGGAGGA